GUCUGGUAGACGUGUCCUCUGUGGUGAAUGUAAAGCUUACGUUCUACACUAGAUGUACCAAAGAUGUACAUGCUCUUCUUGAAGAAGAUAUCGAUGAUGAGGAAGAUAGUUGUAAGGAUUCCCAUCAAGUUUUUGGGACCCUCGUCCAAGAUUAUCUACAAAAGUUGAGUUGUGCAAUUGAGCUUACAAUAGGAACUUGAUUUAUAGAGGUCAUGUGCAUGUUGCAACUCGAAGGAGUACAGAUUCCUGAAAUGAAAUGCAAAUAGCUAAUGCUAGAGGAGUUGGAUCUGGAUAAGCUUAAUUUGUUUGGGGUAGCUGGCCUUUUGCGAGCCUUGCCGCAUGUGGAGACACUCAACAUAGACUUUACUACAGUUGAGUUUAUGGUGUAACCGCUGCCAAUCUGAGUUAAGAUAUUUGGCCAAAGGAGAAUCCAUUGAUUUGCAGAAUUGGAUAUCAAGGUUCGAGUUUCCCAACCUCAAGAAUGUUAAGAUUGUCAUCCCCUUAAGGACAUACUUGAAUGAUCAUACGAAUUGGGGCUUGGACAAGCUUUACAGACUUUCAGAAUUUUUGUUAACAAAUGCAAAGGUUUUGAAGAAGUUCGUCAUCAUAUCAAAGAGAACAAAGUCAGAGAGCAGUUGCGGGUCCAAAUAUUUGUUUCAACUUGCUGAUAAACUGAUAUGUUGCCCAAGAUCCUCUACCAAUUCUAUAAUUAUGUUUUUUCAGGAGUGAGCUUUCUAUGAUUAGAUUGCAAGUAGACUUCAAAAAAGUAAGAUUUCUGUUCAGUUUACCAGAAAUGUUAGCAUAAUUAAGCUUUUUGAUUACUGUUGAUGAAAAACUUGAACUUGUCUAUGUAAGUAAUAACUAUUUGUUC